rfam:Tetraodon nigroviridis, WGS project CAAE01000000 data, contig: CNS0BY2T, chromosome: undetermined
GCCAGAUAUGGUGACAUGGUUCCAAAAAAUCAUGGAGAAGAUCUUUGGUUCCAUUUGUUCUGAGUGGCGUUCUGGUCAUCGCACUGCCGGUUCCUGUCAUCGUGUCUAAC